GAAGGACGUUACUAACGACGAUAUGCUUUGGGGAGCUGUAAGUAAGCUUUGAUCCAGAGAUUUCCGAAUGGGGAAACCCAGCAUGAGUUAUGUCAUGUUAUCGAUAUGUGAAUACAUAGCAUAUCAGAAGGCACACCCGGAGAACUGAAACAUCUUAGUACCCGGAGGAAGAGAAAGAAAAUUCGAUUCCCUUAGUAGCGGCGAGCGAAACGGGAAGAGCCCAAACCAACAAGCUUGCUUGUUGGGGUUGUAGGACACUCUAUACGGAGUUACAAAGGACGACAUUAGACGAAUCAUCUGGAAAGAUGAAUCAAAGAAGGUAAUAAUCCUGUAGUCGAAAAUGUUGUCUCUCUUGAGUGGAUCCUGAGUACGACGGAGCACGUGAAAUUCCGUCGGAAUCUGGGAGGACCAUCUCCUAAGGCUAAAUACUCUCUAGUGACCGAUAGUGAACCAGUACCGUGAGGGAAAGGUGAAAAGCACCCCGGAAGGGGAGUGAAAUAGAACCUGAAACCGUGUGCUUACAAGUAGUCAGAGCCCGUUAAUGGGUGAUGGCGUGCCUUUUGUAGAAUGAACCGGCGAGUUACGAUUUGAUGCAAGGUUAAGCAGUAAAUGUGGAGCCGUAGCGAAAGCGAGUCUGAAUAGGGCGUUUAGUAUUUGGUCGUAGACCCGAAACCAGGUGAUCUACCCUUGGUCAGGUUGAAGUUCAGGUAACACUGAAUGGAGGACCGAACCGACUUACGUUGAAAAGUGAGCGGAUGAACUGAGGGUAGCGGAGAAAUUCCAAUCGAACCUGGAGAUAGCUGGUUCUCUCCGAAAUAGCUUUAGGGCUAGCCUCAAGUGAUGAUUAUUGGAGGUAGAGCACUGUUUGGACGAGGGGCCCCUCUCGGGUUACCGAAUUCAGACAAACUCCGAAUGCCAAUUAAUUUAACUUGGGAGUCAGAACAUGGGUGAUAAGGUCCGUGUUCGAAAGGGAAACAGCCCAGACCACCAGCUAAGGUCCCAAAAUAUAUGUUAAGUGGAAAAGGAUGUGGCGUUGCCCAGACAACUAGGAUGUUGGCUUAGAAGCAGCCAUCAUUUAAAGAGUGCGUAAUAGCUCACUAGUCGAGUGACACUGCGCCGAAAAUGUACCGGGGCUAAACAUAUUACCGAAGCUGUGGAUUGUCCUUUGGACAAUGGUAGGAGAGCGUUCUAAGGGCGUUGAAGCAUGAUCGUAAGGACAUGUGGAGCGCUUAGAAGUGAGAAUGCCGGUGUGAGUAGCGAAAGACGGGUGAGAAUCCCGUCCACCGAUUGACUAAGGUUUCCAGAGGAAGGCUCGUCCGCUCUGGGUUAGUCGGGUCCUAAGCUGAGGCCGACAGGCGUAGGCGAUGGAUAACAGGUUGAUAUUCCUGUACCACCUAUAAUCGUUUUAAUCGAUGGGGGGACGCAGUAGGAUAGGCGAAGCGUGCGAUUGGAUUGCACGUCUAAGCAGUAAGGCUGAGUAUUAGGCAAAUCCGGUACUCGUUAAGGCUGAGCUGUGAUGGGGAGAAGACAUUGAGUCUUCGAGUCGUUGAUUUCACACUGCCGAGAAAAGCCUCUAGAUAGAAAAUAGGUGCCCGUACCGCAAACCGACACAGGUAGUCAAGAUGAGAAUUCUAAGGUGAGCGAGCGAACUCUCGUUAAGGAACUCGGCAAAAUGACCCCGUAACUUCGGGAGAAGGGGUGCUCUUUAGGGUUAACGCCCAGAAGAGCCGCAGUGAAUAGGCCCAAGCGACUGUUUAUCAAAAACACAGGUCUCUGCUAAACCGUAAGGUGAUGUAUAGGGGCUGACGCCUGCCCGGUGCUGGAAGGUUAAGAGGAGUGGUUAGCUUCUGCGAAGCUACGAAUCGAAGCCCCAGUAAACGGCGGCCGUAACUAUAACGGUCCUAAGGUAGCGAAAUUCCUUGUCGGGUAAGUUCCGACCCGCACGAAAGGCGUAACGAUUUGGGCACUGUCUCAACGAGAGACUCGGUGAAAUCAUAGUACCUGUGAAGAUGCAGGUUACCCGCGACAGGACGGAAAGACCCCGUGGAGCUUUACUGUAGCCUGAUAUUGAAAUUCGGCACAGCUUGUACAGGAUAGGUAGGAGCCUUUGAAACGUGAGCGCUAGCUUACGUGGAGGCGCUGGUGGGAUACUACCCUAGCUGUGUUGGCUUUCUAACCCGCACCACUUAUCGUGGUGGGAGACAGUGUC
rnacentral:rRNA from 1 species